GACGAACGCUGGCGGCGUGCUUAACACAUGCAAGUCGAACGGAAAGGCCCUGCUUUUGUGGGGUGCUCGAGUGGCGAACGGGUGAGUAACACGUGAGUAAACUGCCCUUGACUUUGGGAUAACUUCAGGAAACUGGGGCUAAUACCGGAUAGGAGCUCCUGCUGCAUGGUGGGGGUUGGAAAGUUUGGGCGGGUGGGGAUGGACUCGCGGCUUAUCAGCUUGUUGGUGGGGUAGUGGCUUACCAAGGCUUUGACGGGUAGCCGGCCUGAGAGGGUGACCGGCCACAUUGGGACUGAGAUACGGCCCAGACUCCUACGGGAGGCAGCAGUGGGGAAUAUUGCACAAUGGGCGGAAGCCUGAUGCAGCAACGCCGCGUGCGGGAUGACGGCCUUCGGGUUGUAAACCGCUUUCGCCUGUGACGAAGCGUGAGUGACGGUAAUGGGUAAAGAAGCACCGGCUAACUACGUGCCAGCCGCCGCGGUAAAAC
rnacentral:rRNA from 1 species